GUUGAAAGAGGGUUUAUGAGCUCAAGCCCGGGCUUUAUGAGGCUUUAGUAACAGGUGUAUUUUGAUAAGCCACAAAUAUUUUGACAUGUCCCAAAACCAUAAUUCACUUCUAUCUCGAACUGAUAGCGCUGAAAUGCAACUGCACCAGAGUCACUGCGCACACAAAUCAAAUGAGUGCAGUACCAAAGACAAACAGCAGAGUGUGCACAUGAACUGGGAUGAAUAGCAAGUUGCAUGGGGGCACUGGCUCCUGGCUGAAGCCCUAUCAUUGUUCCACAUGCAUCCACUGAAACGUAAACCACUGUAGCAUCAGUGAACUUAACAGUAGUGAAAAGGAAUGUAUCCCUUCUUAUGGAAUUGCACCAUAAGUAUUUUAAAAGGACCUAAGGUAUGACAUAAAACAAACCACCACUAUCCAGGAAAUGGCAAUGUGUUGCAUUCUUUCAUGUGACAACGUUAAAUCAUAUCAGUUAGCAACAGGGUUGGGGUGAAUUCCAAUUUAAAGGGCCAGUGCAGUCAAAAACUAGAUUUAUCUGUGUUUUAUAUAUAUUUUCACACUAUGAGGUUGGAAUAAUACUAUGAAAUUUAGGAUAAUGCCCAUAUAGUGUAACAGCUGUUUGAAAAGACCACUUGUAAUUUCAGCUUGUUUGCAUGGGUGAGGUUUUUAGACCCCAUGGCAACAUCACCAGGUAAGUAGCAAGUAGCCUUGAACAAGCCAGAACGUCUCAUAGGGAAGGACCCUAUCUCCUGUUUCUAUAGCGUGAGGGAGCUUGAUAUACAAGUACACCCCCUGGACAUUAUGCCAGUCUAUCGCAGGGCAUUAUCCCCAAUCUAUCUCCUUAAUGCUGAGUGCCAAGCGGAGGUGCAUCUGGUCCCAUUUUUACAGUCUUGGUAUGACUUCAACCCUGGUAUAACUUGGCCAGGGAUUUAACUUUUAACAGUCUUGGUAUGAGUUCAAUCACUGGUAUAACUUGGCCAGGGAUUGAACUCACAACCUUCCAAUCUCAGGGCGGACACUUUUUACAGUCUUGGUAUGAGUUCAAUCCCUGGUAUAACUUGGCCAGGGAUUUAACUUUUAACAGUCUUGGUAUGAGUUCAAUCACUGGUAUAACUUGGCCAGGGAUUGAACUCACAACCUUCCAAUCUCAGGGCGGACACCACAAGGCCACCGAGUUUUUAAUUGACCAAUGUGACCCACCGCCUUGAUUCGGUCUUAUGUAGCAAAAAUAGAAAUUCAGUUUCUUACGUGGGAUAAAAGUAGAGUCUCAGAGCUAGAAAAUGGUAUAUCAUACACUGCAGUUGAGGAACAAUGGGAAAGUAAUUCUGCUUUGAAAGUUGAUAAACUUGUAACCCCACAUUUGAGAAAAUGCCCUUGAAUUAUUUGGUAAACCUACUGGAGAGCUCUUCUAGGUCUAUACCUAUGCAGCAUCGUUCACACCCUCUUAACUCUCAGCCCCACCCAUCUCUUUAAGGAUUCACAUGUGCUAAACAGAGUGAGUAAGGUAGUGUAGUAAACAACCAAAGAUUUCAAGAUGAGUAGUAGUCUACAAUAAGAAAAAAGUUGAGGUUCAAAUAUACUUCAUCUAGUCCUUGGCUUAUAUCCUAAUCUGACUUUGAAAGUGUCCAGAUAAAAAUAUUGUAUAAAUAUUUUCUAAUUAUUAGAUGAUGCUUACCCAGGCACUUGUCUAAUUGAUGGGUCAUGUGAAAGAAAUGAUAUAACCAUCCCCCAGCCACAUCUAGCUAGCUAGCUAGCAAAACAAUGAACCAUAUUCCCAACCCAAAGCUACAGUACAAAUGGAUUGCAAUAGCUAGCCAUGAAUGAAUCUGCAGGUAGCCAAAGCUAAACAACAAGGUUCAAUGUUAGUAUAGCUAGCUAACAUUAGGCUAUACAUCUUCUUCAGGAUUGGUGGGUCCCCUGUGGGACGGUUGAGCUAACGUAGGCUAAUACGAUUAACAUGAGGUUGUAAGAAACAAGAACAUUUCCCAGGACAUAGACAUAUCUGAUUUUGGCAGAAAGCUUAAAUUCCUGUUAAAAUGUAAAUUGCACCUGGGCUGGAAUAAUACAUUAUGGCCUUUCUCUUGCAUUUCAAAGAACAUGGUACAAAAAAAGACCAAAAAAGCGUUUGGUUUUUUCUUUGUAUUAUCUUUUACCAUAUCUAAUAUGUUAUAUACUCCUACAUUCAUUUCACAUUUCCACAAACUUCAAAGUGUUUCAUUUCAAAUGGUACCAAGAAUAUGCAUAUCCUUGCUUCAGGGCCUGAGCUACAGGCAGUUAGAUUUGGGUAUGUCAUUUUAUGCAAAAAUUGAAAAAAGGGGGCGAUUCCAAAUCAAAUCAAAUCAAAUUUUAUUUGUCACAUACACAUGGUUAGCAGAUGUUAAUGUGAGUGUAGUGAAAUGCUUGUGCUUCUAGUUCCGACCAUGCAGUAAUAUCUAACAAGUAAUCUAACCUAACAAUUUCACAACUACCUUAUACACACAAGUGUAAAGGAAUGAAUAAGUAUAUGUACAUAAAAAUAGAUGAAUGAGCGAUGGCCAAACGGUAUAGGCAAGAUGCAGUAGAUGGUGUAGAGUACAGUAUAUACAUAUGAGAUGAGUAAUGUAGGGUAUGUAAAGAUUAUAUAAAGCGGCAUUGUUUAAAGUUGCUAGUGAUACAUUUAUUACAGCAAUUUCUAAUUAUUAAAGUGGCUAGAGAUGAGUCAGUAUGUUGGCAGCAGCCACUCAAUGUUAGUGAUGGCUGUUUAAUGACUGUGAUAGGAGAAAACUGACAAUGGAUCAAAACAUUGUAUUUACUCCACGAUACUAACCUAAUUGACAGAGUGAAAAGAAGGAAGCAUGUACUGAAUAAAAAUAUUCCAAAAUAUGCAUCCUGUUUGCCACAAGGCAAUAAAGUAAUACUGCAAAAAAUAUGGCAAAGCAAUUACAAUUUUGUCCAGAAUACAACGUGUUAUGUUUGUGGCAAAUCCAAAACAGCACAUCACUGAGUACCACUCCAUGUUUCAAAGCAUGGUGGUGGCUGCAUCAUGUUAUGGGUAUUUAUGUAAUUGUUAAGGGCUUGGGAGUUUUCAGGAUAAAAGAAACAGAAUGGAGCUAAGCACAGGCAAAGUCCUAUCUGCUUUCCACCAGAUACUGGGCGAUGAAUUCACCUUUCAGUCGGACAAUAACCUAAAACAAAAGGCCAAAUAUACUGUUAAGGUUCCUGAGUGGCCGAUUUUGAAAAUCUAUGGCAAGACUUGAAAAAUAGUUGUCUAGCAAUGAUCAACAACCAAUUUGACAGAGCCUGAAGAUUUAUGAAAAUAAUAAUGGGCAAGUAUUGUACACUCCUGAUGUGCAAAACUCUUGGAGACUUACCCAGAAAGUCUCACAGCAGUAAUCAAUGCCAAAGGUGAUUCUAACAUGUAUUGAGUCUUUAUUUAAUUACAUUUUUAAUUGUCUAAAACCAUGUUUUCACUUUGUCAUUAUGGGGUAUUGUGUAUAGAUGUUUGAGAAAAAAAAAGUAAUCAAAUUUGAAUUCAGGCUGUAACAACAAAAUGUGGAAUAAGUCAAGGUGUAUGAAUACUUCCUGAAGGUGUAGUAGGUUUAGGCUACUACAUGAUACUCGAAUUUGCCCUAUACCCAUCAUGAGGUUACUACAACCUAGACUAAAAUGUAGGUGCACAGGUCGAGACACAAAUGUGAGUAAUUAAGGUGACAGUUAGUGACACAUUCAAUACCACCUUGUACACUUGUCACGUCCUGACCAGUAAAGGGGUUAUUUGUUAUUGUAGUUUGGUCAGGACGUGGCAGGGGGUGUUUGUUUUAUGUGAGUGUUCAGGGGUUUUGGUUAAUGUUCAGCUGUUCCUCGUUGCCUAUGAUUGAAGGUCCUAUGUAUAGGGGUGUUUUGGUAAUGGGAAUUGUGGGUAGUUAUUUCUUGUUUAGUGUAUGUAGCACCUGACGGGACUGUUUAGUGUCGGUCGGUCGGUCGGUCGGUCGUUUUUGUAUACGUGUUUCUUUUAGUUUUUUCCUUCUUUUAUAAUAAAUAAGAAGAUGAGUAUAGGUUUUCCCGCUGCACCUUGGUCCAUUACAUACGACGACCGUUACAACACUAUUGCAUGCAUCCAGCUGAUCUGGGGUGUAAUCAUUAGUCCAAACAUAAACGAGUUUCUAUUGGACAAUUUCAGGUAGGUCCCUCCCCAUUUUGUUAAUUUUCUUCCAUUCAAAAAAUGUUCUGCAACAGAAUUGGUGGAAUGAAUACACCCCUGAUCACCCGCACACACAGUCAGUUCACUUUCAUUGCAGCCACAUACAGCAUCAUCACUUUGCACAUUGCAUAAUUCCUUCUCACAUCUAUGCACUCUCCUAUUCUCACCUUUUCCCUUAGCUUGAGGACUUCAGUGCACAACACAACAACUGUCUGUGACCAGUUGAAAAAACCUCUCCAAGCCAAACAUUCAUGCCAUAACCGCUAACCGCUACACAGCCUACAUCGUUGUCAUCAUAUUAACUGUACAUAGUGUAAAAUAUUUAAACUGGAUGACUUGACUGCUAUGAAUACAUUUACUAUGCUGUCUCUUUUUAAACAGCUGUGCCAAACAUUGUCAACUCAACAGCUACCACUGCUCGGACUGUCAUAACAACAAUAGCAGUAACAACUCUCACAGCUAAUACUGCAGCUUCAAAAACCACCAGCAGUGCAAUAGCAAGGAGCAGACCACUGGAUGUGGUGACAGUUUUGAUACUCAUCACUGCAUCCUGUUCCAAAAUGUUGGUUGGACUUUGCUAACGUAGAUCUCUACAUUACUCCCUUUUUGUUUUAAAUGCCCUUCUUCAUAAAAACAUCUUUCUUAUCUAACUUUGCUGUUGAAGUAUAGAGACCUGAGUUGCCUAACACAUACACGGCAUUAGUUAACCUUUGAGGUGCCUAGGGUCUCCACCGAGCUAGGUAAAUCUGAUUUUAGUUUAAAAGCACUGUAUUGCUGGAAAAUUCUAAAUACAUUUCAUCUUAGUUUUCUGGUGGCGUUUGGGCAGUUUAGAGUAUUGAUUGGGGACUUAUUUGUGGAUGAAUGUAGCUGUUUUUUUAUGUGAUUUGUGAUGUCUUACUUGUGCUUCCCUUGACUGUAUUUUUGUAUUUUAAUAUGCAUAUAUAUGUAUAUUUUGUGUAUAAUGUAUUUGUGUUGUAUUGUGCAGGACACAUUUGAAAAAGAGACCUAGGUCUCAAUAUGCCUUUCCUGGAAGAAAAAAAAAGUAGAAUAAAAUAAUAUAUACUUUUUCAGAUCCCCUAACAAUACAGUUUGCCGGUCCAUCUGAACCGUGAUGUUAGGACAUAACAAUAAUUCAUGGACCCGAGCCACUGAUGGACAGUACCAGAAAAUAUGCUUUAUUGAUUCUGUUUCCUUGUUGCAGUGCGCAAGUAUGUGGACACCCCUUCAAAUUAGAGGAUUCUGCUAUUUCAGCAAUACUCGUUGCUGACAGGUUUAUAAAAUCGAGCACACAGGAUUCCUCCAUAGCCACACUCCAUAGACAAACAUUGACAUUAGAAUGGCCUUACUGAAGAACUCAGUGACUUUCAUUGUGGCACUGUCGUAGGAUGCCACCUUUCCAACAAGUCACACAGUAAAAAUGACAGAGUGAAUUUAACACUAUUUGAAGAAAACGUAACUCUGCCAAAGAUAACAUUUAUUCCCAGUGAAAAAAGAGUAGAACGUACUCUGGCAUCAGAGUUAUUUUUUCAGACUUGUAUUUGCUCAUUUUAGUGUUGAGAUUUAACUGUGCGUCAUUGCGUUUCACUCUAUACUGUGUUCAUUUAAAAUAACUGUCAUAUUUUUUCCUUUCUGCAGUGUUGUUCAUUAUUCUAGAGUUAAUUAUUGAGAGUAAUGUUUACUCGCACCAGUGUCAUUGUAAAUUUACUCUGACUCAUACUACUAAAUAAAUUGACUCUAAUCAAGUAUAUUACUAGCAUAAAUCAGUCAACACAAAAUAUUGCAUAACAUGAUUUUUUUAUUACAUGAGAUGCCAAAAACAGCCCAAAUUGUACUUGCGUGGUGUACAAUCUUUAAAAUAAAAUAAAGCAUUAAGGACAGUUUGAAUUGAAAACAACACCCCCAACAUGGGCAAUUUCAUAAUUGUUCUUAUAGUGUGUAAAAGCGUGGAAAUAAUAUCACAUGAAGCAGUACGGGACCACAAACAAACUUGAAUCAUCACCUCCAUACGACAUGUCGAAUGCUUUGCGAUACAAAAGAUCUUAAACAUCAUCAACAUGGGGUCCCUUUCUUAACCGUACAACUUUAAAUACAUGAAAAAUUGUGUCAUAUUUUACAAGAAUAGACUUGAUUUUGUGAAAUAUUGGAAUCUCACGAUGAACUUUAAGACAAACAACCAAAUUUGUGAAUUUUGUUAAUUUUUAUUUCACCUUUAUUUAUUAACCAGGUAGGCCAGUUGAGAACAAGUUCUAAUUUACAACUGCGACCUGGCCAAGAUAAAGCAAGGCAGUGCGACACAAACAACAACACAGAGUUACACAUGGAAUAAACAAGUGUACAGUCAAUAACACAAUAGAAAAUUAAAAAAAAAUAAUAAGUCUACAUACAGUGUGUGCAAAUGGCGUGAGGAGGUAAGGCAAUAAAUAGGCCAUAGUAGCGAGGUAAUUACAAUUUAGCAAAUUAACACUGGAGUGAUAGAUUUGCAGAUGACGAUGUGCAAGUAGAAAUACUGGUGUGCAAAAGAGCAACCAAAUCUGAACGGCAUACAUUACGUACUUUUACACUCAAAACCUUAGUGAGCUCCUUCUGUUACAUUCAAGGAGACCAUUUUCCCUCGACCAAUAUCCAAUCUAUCUAGGUCAAAUGUUUGCAAGUUGCCAUUUCACUUUGAUGUUUCUUGGCAAAUGGUUUAGUUAUGUUUUUAGAGUUUUUCGCUUGUUUUUAAAAAAUGUACAUGCUUUGAUUCAUAGCGCAUACACCAGCUAUGGAGAAUUGGCCUUGAUUUUCUAAAUACAUUGUGCAUAAUGCACCAUAAAAUUAUCCUUUGGUAAUAACCUUUUUCCAGGAAACAAAUGCUUAAACAAUCGGUGGUGUUCUGCAAUCACGUGCUUCAAAUAGACUGUAAUACCAGCUGAUAACUCUGGAGAAAAUACAAUGUUGACUAUUUGAAGCAACAAAAGCAGCAAAUGCCAAUGUUGAUCAUUUGAAGACAUCAAAUCACCAAAGAUAAGUGGUAGAACCCUCAAAUAACUUCACUGCAAGGGGUCUGUUGUUUCCUUCCAUAAAACCAUAGCUGAAGCUCUGAAUUCUCAUGUCAAUUUCUGUUGAGGUUAAAUGUUAAUUUUGCAAGAAUUGUAGUAGCAAUUUCACCUCAUAUUGCCCAACACCCUACAAGAUGUCAUGCAUGAUACCAACUCAAAAAUUAUCACAUGAAUUUAACAUGCAAGACUUUUUGACACCCACAUGCAUCUCUUUAGUUCAAUACUAUCUUUGGACGGUCUUCACUGAACUCUGUCUGAAAGUCGUCUUUCUCAGCAAGACAGAAAACGGCAGCAAUAUCUUGCACUAAAAUAUAAAAAAUAUAAAAAUAAACCACGAGUACCACCUGUUACUUGGACAAUAGUUCCAUGAAUUUGGUGGUCAUACAAGAGAAACUUAAUUCCAUCCCUUUCCAAAAUGAUUACAUCUCAUACAAUUGGGUCAAGCAGUGAGUAAAACUCAUAGGUUUUUAUAUCUUGAGCAUGAAAUAGAGAAACCAGGUGAAUAUUGAGCAGCACUUUGAGAGACAUCUCUUAAAGUAAAGUAAAUGGCACCCAAUUUGUGUAGGCCAUGCUUCUAUCCAAGAGGAUUAGAGGUUUCAAAGUCAUCAUAGUAGAGCUGAAAUUUUAUUGCAUGCUUCUCUUUUGAGAGUAGAGCAUGAUUUUCAAAGAUCAAUCACGCCUGUCAUAAAGUGGGACCAUCCAUAGCCUGCAAAAUUUGAUUUAUUUGUGCAUUUUUGUAAAUAACGUCUGCAAAAUGGGUAUGUACAUUAAUUUAUCUGUAACAAUAACUUGGUCAUAUGUAACAAUAACCUGGUUCUGUCACGCCUGCUCCCGCUCCCUGGAGCUCGAAGGCGCCAGACUCCUGCCACCACCAGUAUUCACACCUGCCUUCCCUCCGUCACGCGCAUCAGCAAUUAUUGGACUCACCUGGACUUAAUCACCUGUUUAUUACCUCCAGUAUAUUUGCCAGUUCCACCGCUCUGUUCCCUGCUGCUGACGAUGUUCAUGUCUUGUUACUGAUCUGUUCCGCAUUAAAUGUUCAACUCCCCUUUAUCUGCUUCUCAUCUCCGGCGCCGGUCCUUUCAGGUUCUAUUGCGUUGCAUGUCAAAUCUUGUGAAAAAGAACAUAUUCAACUGGAUCUACAGUUCCCCAUUUCUCUGAGAAAUACUUCAACCUUUUGGUUUCAGAAUUCAAGUAACUGAAAGGAUUUUCAAUUUGCCCAAAACACAUCUAUUUUACACCAAUAUCAUUGUUACACUUCUUCACAGAUUUUUUUGUUUGACUGUGGAUAUCAUCAACUACCUCUUCAUUGGAACUGACUAAAGUGUUCACUGUUGUUUCACCAACUCCUGCUGCUUUGAGUUGAGCUAUUGUUGCGGCACAAUUUUCCACAAUACUCUUAUUAUACAGAGCUGAAUCACAAUGUGAGCUUUGUUACAGAGCUGUUAGCAGCGGUAGAGGGGCCUCCA
rnacentral:lncRNA from 1 species